rnacentral:rRNA from 1 species
GAUGAACGCUGCGGCGUGCCUAAUACAUGCAAGUCGAGCGAAUGGAUUAAGAGCUUGCUCUUAUGAAGUUAGCGGCGGACGGGUGAGUAACACGUGGGUAACCUGCCCAUAAGACUGAGAUAACUCCGGGAAACCGGGGCUAAUACCGGAUAACAUUUUGAACCGCAUGGUUCGAAAUUGAAAGGCGGCUUCGGCUGGCACUUAUGGAUGGACCCGCGUCGCAUUAGCUAGUUGGUGAGGUAACGGCUCACCAAGGCAACGAUGCGUAGCCGACCUGAGAGGGUGAUCGGCCACACUGGGACUGAGACACGGCCCAGACUCCUACGGGAGGCAGCAGUAGGGAAUCUUCCGCAAUGGACGAAAGUCUGACGGAGCAACGCCGCGUGAGUGAUGAAGGCUUUCGGGUCGUAAGACUCUGUUGUUAGGGAAGAACAAGUGCUAGUUGAAUAAGCUGGCACCUUGACGGUACCUAACCAGAAAGCCACGGCUAACUACGUGCCAGCAGCCGCCGUAA